CAAAUACCCCUCCAUCCGAAAAUACUUGUCAUCAAAAUGGAUAAAAGGAAAUGUAUCUAGACGUAUUUUAGUUUUAGAUACAUAUCUUUUUAUCCAUUUUGAUGACAAGUAUUUUCGGAUGGAGGGAGUAUUUA
rfam:Triticum aestivum genome assembly, contig: Triticum_aestivum_CS42_TGACv1_scaffold_641115_T_3AL-0.189283_1BS-0.146711